CUACUUUUGUUUGGUAGUCACAAAAUUUUGUUUUUGUCAAGAUUUUUUGUGACCCUUUGACUCUUGAUAUGGUGGUCACCUUGUUUUUUUGUUUGAGGAUAUUUAUGACCUCCUUUUUUUGUUUCUUUUUAUCCCUAAUUUUUGCCUAGACUGCUUCUUUGGACCUUUCAAUCCACCGGGAUACCCUGAUUUUUGCCAAAGUCAUUUUUCUGGUGUUCGACUUAACGACUUUUAUUUUUUCGUUUUUCCUUUCUCUCUU
rnacentral:lncRNA from 1 species